UACGUAGGGCGCAAGCGUUGUCCGGAAUUAUUGGGCGUAAAGAGCUCGUAGGCGGCUUGUCACGUCGGUUGUGAAAGCCCGGGGCUUAACCCCGGGUCUGCAGUCGAUACGGGCAGGCUAGAGUGUGGUAGGGGAGAUCGGAAUUCCUGGUGUAGCGGUGAAAUGCGCAGAUAUCAGGAGGAACACCGGUGGCGAAGGCGCCACUCUGGGCCGGUACUGACGCUGAGGAGCGAAAGCGUGGGUAGCAAACAGG
rnacentral:rRNA from 1 species